rnacentral:rRNA from 1 species
AUUGAACGCUGGCGGCAGGCCUAACACAUGCAAGUCGAACGAGUGGCGGACGGGUGAGUAAUGCCUGGGAAACUGCCUGAUGGAGGGGGAUAACCACUGGAAACGGUAGCUAAUACCGCAUACCAUCGGAUGUGCCCAGAUGGGAUUAUCUAGUGGGUGGGGUAAAGGCUCACCUAGGCGACGAUCCCUAGCUGGUCUGAGAGGAUGACCGGCCACACUGGAACUGAGACACGUCCAAGACUCCAACGGAGGGCAGCAGUGGGGAAUAUUGGACAAGGGGGGCAGGCCUGAUGCACACAGCCCGGGUGUAUAAGAAAGGCCUUGGGGUGGUAAAGUACUUUCAGCGGGGAGGCGUUACCCGCAUAGGAAGCACCGGCUAACUACGUGCCAGCAGCCGCGGUAAUAC